ensembl:lncRNA
GGCUUCCCUUCUCCGUCCCAUCGGCGCUGUUGUGUUGUGAUGGUAAUUUCAUCAACGGCUUAUGUAAGGGUUGGAUAACACAAACACCACAACAUAUGGUUCGUGCGAGAUAGCAACGUGCGCUCCAUAAAGCGUUACAAUGACUUGUGUGAUAUUCCCGGUACAGUCUGUGGAUGAUUUACAGCCUUCCCAAGCUGUCACAAAUAGCGUCACGUCCCCUGUGAUUCGAGCAAAAGUUUGCUAAUUUGAUCAACAAAAUGGAUUAUUUGGCCACAGAGGGAAAUCUAAGGUUAUUACUGGAGGAAGCUGUGGACUUGCAUCUGCAUUCCGCUCAAAGCUGAUCUUCUGAGCAUUGAGUGGCUUUAGAGCAGAGCUCUGUGACAGGUUGGUUUGUGAAGGUUUGGCCUGCGAUGGCCCUGGGCACCACCAAACCUCGCCUGUAAGGCCCCAAUGUCCCUGGAGCACUGCAGCAUCCUGGUGCUGCGUGGGCAGCCAUCCGAGCAGGCAGUGCUGAGCAAAGGAUAGGAAACAUCAGGGAAAGGAGAGUGUUUCUCAAACCCCACCUUCUUCCGGAUGGAUUUUGAGGUGGGCAUUCCCAUUGCAGACUGAGGUGACGCUUUCCUAACAGAUGGCACUGGUGCGCUCACCCAGCGGCACGUCGGAGGUAGAUGGGUUGGGUGGGAUGUGGCAGGCCUAAGUGUGGGCUCCCCUCCCCAGGGCACAGCCCAGCUGUUGUCACCCACCCGCUGGGGAGAUGCUCUGCACUCCUGUGGUCGCAUCACAUCCUUUGAACUAACGCCGUGGGGAGGAAGCACAAGGAAAUGCAGACCUGCAGCCUUCAGGCACUGACUUUUUACCCCUUGCGUGUCUGAUGAGAUGCAGCCACUGUGUGUGCUUUGCUCCGGAGCCUGAAAGCUUGCAAGGGCAACUGAGUCUCAGAGCAUGUUAUCCAAAGGCAGCCUCUCCACGUUUCACAGGCAUGUGAAACAGGACCACCACCUCAGUGCUGGGUGCGGGUCCAGAGGCUGCUGUAACUCGGGGGCAAGCUUGGUGUGUGCAGAAGUAUGCUCUCGUUUCACAAAAUGACCCUUGCAGUGGGAUAAAUACUAAGUGUUCUUUGGUGCUGGAGGCAUGACCUCUGUUGUACAGCUCCUCCAAAGCUGUUCUGGAGAAAAGCGUCAGCCCACCUUGUGCACACUUCUGUCCAGGUGUGUUUUAGCACUUGAUUUGACAGUGUGAUGCCUGCAGCCAGGGGUGCUCGUGGGAAUGGUUGAGCUUAUUGAACCUCCUUGCGUCCAAAUUAGAGGGGCUGGGAAAACCUGUUCUGUGUUUUGAUUGUUAUUUAGCUUUGAAAAUAUUUAUUUUACUGUUUAUUGUCAUUUAAAUUACUAACCCAGCUCUGACGUUUGCAGUGUGCAUAUCCGUGCCCAUCAGCCCCACUGCCUCCGCAGACCUCCACAGAUGCCUCUGUGCUAACAGAAACGAGCUGCCCUGUGGGUGCCGUGUAUGUAUGUGCUGUCCUAUCCAACAGCGUUAUUGAAGGGGGAUUAAAACAUCCCUUCCUUUGCACAAAAUAAUGAACUCAUUUUGAGAAAGCACCGUGCAACAUGACUUUCUCGGUCAAAAGUGAAGCUGUUUUUGUUAGUGAGCAGGGCACCAGAGUACAGAGAUAAUUGGCAUGUUAGAAAUACCAGGCUCUCUAGACCUAUUUAUAUGUUUAGUAUAAAUAUAAAUGAAUGUUUACAACCUAAGGUGAAUGUUCUUUUCCAGUUCCUUGCAUCCUUUUGAUCUGUGCUUAGCAAGGCUUUCGGUGACUCCGUGUGCUACAGGAUGCUCCCAUUUGCUGGAGGUUAUGUGGAAAUGUUAAACAAAUUGACUUUGCUGGUUGAAACUUUUUUUCUUUGAUGGUGAGCAGUGGUGGACUAGAGGAAAUAGCAAAGUUGAAAGGAAAACCAAAAAUACAUAUUCUGGAAACUUGCUUCUGUGACUGUUUUUUAAAUCAUUUUCCUCUCCAAUUUCUCUUCCAACCAACCAGCUCUACCCAAGUGCAAGCAAAUGCUUUUAUUUCAGAGGUCAUGGGCUUAUGUAAGUGGUUGGACGACAAGUGGUAACAGGAGUGGUAGAGCAUGAUAGCUUUUUCACCCAGUGCACAAAGAGCUGGAAGAGAGACUCAUCAGCUGUGGGUGUUUGGAGACAGUGAGGAACUUGGGGUGACACAGCUUCACGAGGAAUAAAGCACAUCUGAUGCAGGACACAGCAGUGCUUUCUCUUGUGCUGGAGGAUGGGUGCUCAGGCAGGACAGAGUGCCAGAGGAACAACAUCUCUGCUCUGACUCCUUCUGACAGGACUGAUGGAGCUGGUGAAUUUUCUGGCGAAUUAAAUUCCAUGAGAGCUUCUGCCUGGAAGCCAUCAUCCUGCCUCUGUACUUGCCUCCAUUCAGUAAGGAUCCGUGAUGUUCUUGGAGAUCUCCUGCAGAGCUUUCCCCCGUGUGGCAGAAAUUACCCUGUCCACCAUCUGAGAGAACUCUGGUACCUCCCAUAGUCACACAGAGCACUUGGAGGUGCCCUGCCCCUCUCAUAGUUACCUGAAUGCCCCCCAUCAGCUCCAUCACAGCCUUGACUGAGCUGGCUGCUGUGUUGCACCCUGUGCGUGUUUUGUAAUUAAGUCACUAGGCGAGAGGGUAGGUUUCUGUCUGGGUAUAUUUUUUGUUUGUGUUUUAAUUAUUUUAUUUUAUUUUAUUUUGAGCCAAGUUCUAAAGUCCACGCUUAGGGCCUCACAUGCUCAGAUUUCCUUUAACUCUUGAUAGGGGGAAAGAACUGAGUCGCGACCUUAUGGUCUGAACGUGAGCAAACAAUCUGUUACAGUGAACACACGCAGAGGAAAAGAACAGCGAUGAUUCGAGGCAGCAGGAUCCUCAUUGACUUGAGAUCAUCAUUUUCUUGAAGGCAGGGGGUAAUGGCUGGCUGUCACCCACACGAUUAUAUCCUCACGCUGUUCCUGGACUGACCUGAAAUGAAACCUCCAAUGCCAGCAGGGAUAAAUCCCAGGGUAGGGGAGGCUGGGAUGUCUGUGCCCCACCAGCCUUUCUGUGCCCGUGCUGCCAACCUGGAAGAGGUUUGUGGAGCCUUUGUGUUCGUUGUGAUGUUUUUGCUGUUAGGUCCAGAAUGUGGGGAUUGAGAUUGUUGCCCCGUGCUGCAGAUCCCUCACCAAAAUCAUAGCUGAGCGUUCCCUGUGCUUCUGAAGGUAUAAUGGAAAAGCUUUACAGCACAGCCCUUAUUUCCAAGAUGUGCCUGUAGUUUGGUUAAAAAAAAACUUGGAUUCUCAAGCUUAUUUUAUGCUGGAGUUAAAAACAUGUGUUCUUCCAGGAACGCAACAUGAAUGAAUGUGAGCUCUAAAUUAUGCUGACCUUUCAAUUAGAAAUUUUCCACCACCUAUCAUUCCAGGACAAAUAUUGAUUGAACAGUCCAUGUGUGUGUGUGAAGCGCAGCCUGACAGCCGGCGUGACCUUCCUCUUCUGUGCCUGAUUGCCAAUGGUGGCUUUAAGCUUCCUUUUGUACCAAAACCUCGUUUCAUAACUGAACUCCCUGCUCUUUGGAACCUGAGUUUCUUCGUUUGUUUGCUCAGCGAGCUGAGAUCUGUUGGGAUAUUUCUCUGUUUGAUUUGGUUGUUAGCUUUGUUGCCGUCCGAAAUGGCCCAGGGCUGCUUUGUUCAAGGCCAUUUUUCUGGAAGGGUUUUGUUCUGGAAGGGUUUUGUUCUGCACAAGUUUGCGGGUAUCACCCGUGUGAUUUCUGCCCCAUUGUGUGCUGCUCGCCCGCUCAGGGCCAUAUUGUGAUUGCAUGUGUGCUUGGCUCCGCAGCUCUCAGCAUCCACUGAGCAUGGGAAAAUGUCUUUCCGCCGGGAGAUUUCAUCACUGAAUUUUCAUAUCUCCAAAUCCUAUAGAAUUUUUUUUUUUUUUUGAGGUUACAAGAGAUCAAUUUCCAUAAACCAAAGAAUUAUAGGAUGGCUUAGUUUGAAAGGGACCUUAAAGGUCAUCUAGCUCCAACCCCUGAAUGCUCUUAAGAAUAUGAAUGAAGGACAGCGUUAGCCUUCCCCAGACUGUCCUGGUUUUGGGGCAGAAACAAAGACGUAUCUUCAUGUUUCAAUGUAGCAGGUUUCUCCAAUGAUGGAUUCUCCAAAGGAUGGAUUUGGUCCCCAGCAAGUACUUUGCAGCAGUGCGAUCUGCUUUUGCAGGGAGAGUCAGCACAAAGCCACCCCGCACUCCCCAUAACAUCGAUGAACGGGGUGAGUUUUAUUCAAUAGGCCUCAGUCUUUUUAAUAAAAGCACCAGUUUGUAUUACAGAGUCACAGAAUUGCAGGGGUUGGAAGGGACCUCUUAGAUCGUUGAGUCCAACCCUCUCUAAAGGAGGUUCCCUAUAGUAGGUCGCACGGGUAGGCAUCCACAGAAGAAGACUCCACAACCUGUCUGAGCAGCCUGUUGCAGUGCUCCAUCACUCAGACAGUAACCGAUUUCUUCCUUGUGUUAGUAUUGAACUACCCGUGUUUCAGUUUCUGCCCGUUGCUCCAUGUUCUACUGCUGCACACCACCCUCAUCAACAUGGCUCCCGCACUGUAGGUAUUUAUAUAUAGUUAUGAGAUCCCCUCACAGCCUUCUCUUCUCCAGACUGAAGAGUCCCAGGUCUUUAGGUAUCUUAGCCUAGAGCCCCCUGGAUUCUGCCCAGGGGAAAGCUGGGGGUGGGAGCUGAGGCCUGGAUGCAUUUGUCUCUCAUUCGUGCCUUCACCAAAGCUGCUGAUGUGCAGGCCUCCAGCUCCCACCAAGGGCACACACACCCACAGAGCACGCAGUGCUGCCCUCUGACCCCUGUCAGGAACGUUACUUCUUCUCAUGGUUAUGAAAGAUACUCAUACUGCUUUCUUCUGAGAUUAUGGUUUGUACUUCUAUAUAUAAUGCAUAUACAUACAUAAAAUGUAAAC